GGGCGGAUACCAGAGCGGUCAAAUGGGGCAGGCUGUAACCCUGCUGGCUUAUGCCUUCGUGGGUUCGAAUCCCUCUCCUCCCACCA
rnacentral:tRNA from 1 species